rnacentral:misc_RNA from 1 species
GAUGGCUUACCAGGACGCUUGGCGUGUGUGCCACCCGAAUGUCAAGAAGCCAUUUUCUUCGCUUGAGGAUGCCUGUGAGAGGUUUGUCCUUUAUGGUUGAUCUUGUCUGCUUAUGCCUGUGUACUGGCUGUUUUAUUAUAUGCGGCUAUUUCAUUUUUUUUGUUGGGAAUUUGAGAUUUUCUUUUAUUUCUCAGAAUUUGUGAAUUUCUGACAUUGUUGCCACUCUAAAAAUUUUACACACACUUUUGUACUUGUUUUUACUUCAUUUUUGGGGUAAAGAAAAUCCUGGGUCUGUUGAGUAUGCAAAAUGUAUUUGAAAUUGGAAUCAAGAUAAUUUUGAUACGCAGUAUUAGUUUUGUUGUUCUGCAGGACUGGAUUUGUUAUAUUGCUGUUGGUUACUUUAGGAUCCAGUAGGAGUACAACUUGAAAUGGCUUGCAUUUUACUUUGAAUGAUGUGAGUAGUUUACAUGGAUGCUAGAUUAUGCUGGGGUUUAGUGGUUUAUGCACUUUUGGUGUUAUACAAUUUAUGAUUUAGUUUAGUUAUUCAAUUAUCGUUUUCACUUUUCAUGCCAUUUGAAGUAACCUGUCAGGUAGUCUUAUUAUUUAGCUAACUUGUUUUUCCAUGUCCUGUGUGGGAAAUUAACAGUUGUCUUUAAGAAAGGUGCAUGAUAACUUUUUUGUCAUGAAAAUUCAAAUUGCAACAUGUGAUGAAAACUGAAGGAUGUCUUUUGUGGGUAUUUUAACUCUUCCUUCAUUCUAAAAAGCUUUCUCAUGUGGUUUCACCAGAGACUAAAAUAUAUUCAAAAUUAGUUCAUUCAAUAACUUGAACCCAUAUACCUUGCUUAGAUUUUGGAGGAUUUAAAAAUAUCAAUUUUUGGAUAGAGUCCCUUUGUAUGUGUUUAUAAACACGUAAUCCCUUUAUGUCUUGUGAUCUGAUUCAUUUCUGUGAUGUCUAUUAUUUGCUUUUGUUGAUUUGCUUGUGUGAACAUCGGAGGUGUGGUGGAAUAAAUUUGGGGCAUUGAUGCUUGAUGCGAUAUCAUCACGGCAUACUUGGCAGAGCAGUGGUUUUUUCCCCCUAAAAAUAAUAAUUCAGAAGUAGUAUAGUAUAGAGCUAGUACUUGCAUUGAUGUUCAUAGUUGUAUUUUGAGAAUUUAGUGCAUCAUUUCCACUUUUUUCUCUUGUAAAUUGGUGCAGA